rnacentral:rRNA from 1 species
GACGAACGCUGGCGGCGUGCCUAACACAUGCAAGUCGAACGAAGUGGCGAACGGGUGAGUAACGUGUAAUCAACCUGCCCUUCAGAGGGGGACAACAGUUGGAAACGACUGUUAAUACCCCUUACGGAAGGAGGGGAUUGCGUCUGAUUAGCUAGUUGGAGGGGUAACGGCCCACCAAGGCGAUGAUCAGUAGCCGGUCUGGGAGGAUGGACGGCCACAUUGGGACUGGGACACGGCCCAGACUCCUACGGGAGGCAGCAGUGGGGAAUCUUCCGCAAUGGAGGAAAAUCUGACGGAGCAACGCCGCGUGAGGGAUGACGGCCUUCGGGUUGUAAAGCUCUGUUAAUCGGGACGCGGUACCGGAAGAGAAAGCCACGGCUAACUACGUGCCAGCAGCCGCGGUAAUAC